rnacentral:lncRNA from 1 species
ACCCUGUGGUUGCAAAAGUGGGGAUAGGUUGAGGGUACCAAUGCAGAGUCCCUGGGGGAGAGGCCAUUUCUCAAAGAUGUGAAGGUAAAACCUGGAUUGGAUUGGAGGCCCCAAGAUGUUGGAGAUGCCAAAGCCCUGGAUUACCCACUGAGGAGAGUUGCAGACCAGGUGACCCAGCCACAGGUGCCUCUCCAGAGCCUGGGUGAGUCUGCUUUAUGUUUAGCCUCCCCAAACACAAGCUAGGUAAACCCCUUUUCUUUACAAAGCUACCCCAUCUGCAGCACUUCAUUUCAGCAAUAGAAACCUGGUGAGCACAGUCACAUUCUAGCCCGAGGAACGACUUGGCUUGUCACUGAGGGACUCUGGAUGCUGAAGUACCCGGCACCUGGAAUACCUGAGCACAGAUGAUAGUAGUCCUGCUCUGGCACUUAUGAAGGGAAAAGAUGUUGGCAUCCAAAUCAGACCAUCUUUCUGUCAACCUGUCCAUCAUAAGAGGGAGGUGGAACCAUGGGAUCCCACAGAGGACUUGCCAAGUUCACAUUCAAAAUGGUUCCUCUAUACUGUUGAAUACAUGUGACCAUGCUGGGAAGACAUAAGCAGCAACCAAACGAGGAAGGAUCCAUGCAUUUCUUCUCUGUUCUUGUUUGUGAUGUGACAUUCUAAUUCCUUCCUGGACUUCCCCCACAACAAUGGGCUGUAACCUGGAACUGUAAGCCACAUAAACCUUUCUUUCCCUAAGUUGCUUUUUGUCAGGGUGGUUAAGCACAGCAAUAGAAAUGAAACUAGAAUAGGUGAGCUCCUGGUUCAGUGAGAGAGACCCUGCCUUGAAAAAUAAGGACAGUGAUGGCCGUAGACACUGCAAUCUAUCUCUGGCCUCCAUGUGUGCACACACACACACUUACACCAAAUAAACAAAUACAUGACCCUAUCCCAUCCCAUCUCAUGAUGGAUUAUGGGAAGGCACCAAAGGCAUCAAAGACUAAAGAAGUUCCUAACAGCUUGUUCCCUCAUCCUCUGGUCAACCUCAGAUCUUGUACCACCUCACCUGUGUUUUUCUACAUCUUUCUGCUUACAACUGUAUUUCCUAUCUCUCCAUUCAGAUGAACCCCAAAUUCCAUGGCCAGAAGCAGAAGCCCCUUGGGAUGCUUUGUAUGUGCUUGGCCCAGCAGUGGCACUAUUAGGAGGUGUGGCCUUGUUGGAGUAGGUGUGUCACUGUAAGUGUGGGUUUUAAGACCCUCAACCUAGCUGCCUGGAAGUCAGUAUUCUCCUAUUGGCCUUCAGAUGAAGAUGUAGAACUCUCAGCUCCUCCUGCACCAUGCCUGCCUGGAUGCUGCCAUGUUCUCGCCUUGAUGAUAAUGGACUGAACUUCUGAACCUGUAAGCCAGCCCCAAUUCAAUGUUGUUCUUAUAAGAGUUGCCUUAGUCAUGGUGUCUCUUCACAGCAAUAAAACCCUAACGAAGACACCCCUAAAAUUCUAAACAUAGCUGGAAAAACAUUCUAGAAUAUUUGCAUAUGGCAGUGAAUACCCUACUUCUAAGCCAAACUCAAUCACUGGCAGGGAGAAUGUCACUCCUCAGCAGGGACCCAUGCCAGCAUGAGGCUGGCAAAAGACUAAGUUACAUGAUGAUAGAAUCAUAUUUAAUAAAAGCCAAGGAGCACCUGGAUUCACAUGGUGGGAUUGGAGGUACAAGGUAAAGACCAGUGGCCAGGCAGAGGUGGGACUGGUGUCUUGGACGGAUGCUCCCUAAGAAACUGGAAGUUCUAUGAGUUUUGAAGGAAUCUUUGCUUGGCCAGAAGUCCAGUUCAUUCCGCAGAUAUUCCUUUGCCUGUAGUAUAGACACAGACUAAUUACAAAGAGAAGAACCAGGGAUGGCUUAAGGCAAGGCAGACAUGUAUUCCUGAAUAGUGUCCCCUAGAAAAGACAGAUUCUAUGUAUUUUACAUUGAAAAUUUUCACUUCCUUCCUUUUCCCUCCCCUCCUACUUCUCUCUUCUUUUUAGCUUUUCUCUUCUUUUUCUUCAUUCUUUCCUUCCCUCCUCCUCCUCCUUAACCAUCAUUACCACCAUCAUCAUCAUCUGUAUCAUCUUUGGUGGUGUGGGCUUUUAAAUCCAGGGCCUUGUUCACGCUAGGCAGGCAUCUACAACUGAGCUAUAUCCCCACACUCCCCAAAUCUUCCUUUUUUAAAACAGAGUCUCACUGUGCAGCACUGCAGAGCUCUCUCUGUAGAACAGGCUGUCCUCCAACCCGCUAAGCUGUGCCUUCUGAAUGCUGGGAUGGACUGAAGGUGUGCACCUCUAUGCUUGCCCUGUUUCUAUUUACCCACUUAUUAAGAAUUGACAAGUGCCAGGGAAGAUUCCUUUGCCUGAAAUGACUCCCAUUGAUGCUCAUUUAUAUGUUCAUACAGGCCUUCCAACGUCAACAGUGAAGAAAGUACACAAAGAGGUUUGAGCACAGACUCAGUAAGUUCCCUAGGGAUAUGGCCUCAUGGAGAAAAUGGCUGAAUGUUUUUUGUUUUUUGUUUUUUUUUUGUAAACAAAACGUUUAAAGAUUGGCUUAAAACUCGAGCUCUGCAGAUAAGUACAUACCUGCCAGGAAGC